AGCUGACUUACCCUUGGAAGUCUAUGAGGUCUCUGUAGAUCCAUAAGUAUGAGUGCAUGACUGUUCCCACACUCUGAUGAGUCCAAUAGUAUAGUGAAAGAAGUGGCCCUUAUGUUUUGUUUUGUAUUUUGCAGCCAUUUUUGGCAUCAGUAUAUGUAUGUAUUGGAACUCAUAUAUAUAUAUUUGUAAGGGAUUUGUAAUGAUUUUGUUCUGCUGCAUAAAUUUUAGCAUGUAUUCGUUAUUCUGAAUCUGUAUCUGACACCCAUUUACCUUAAUUACCACUUGGGAUGUCACAUUAGGGCUGUUCACUCUGCAAAUAAUAAAUGUAGGUGCGGCAUUGACAACCCCUAAAGUGACACUUGUAGCAAACAAAGCAGACACAAGAUAUGAAUUCUAUAUUUUGGAUCUCUUGUACACCCUUUGCAAGUUUUU
rnacentral:lncRNA from 1 species